UGCUAGUGAUGCGUGUGAAGUAC
rnacentral:piRNA from 1 species